ACAUACUGACCAUGCUACGGUUCGCAGCCUCUAAGGGGCGCGAUCAAAAGGGAACCCGGUGAGAAUCCGGGACUGCCCCGCAGCGGUAUACGGGAACGAACGCUGUACGAAUGCACUGGUGCUCCAAAGCGCUGGGAAGCAAUAGCCAGUAGAAAAACGAUCUUGCCGAUCGAAACGCCCGCAAGUCCGAAGACCUGCCGAAGCCAUCGUUGUUUGU
rnacentral:ncRNA from 1 species